rnacentral:rRNA from 1 species
CUAAGCCAUGCGAGUCGAGUGUAGCAAUACAUGGCGUACUGCUCAGUAACACGUGGACAACCUACCCUCCGGACGGGUAUAAACCCGGGAAACUGGGUAUAAUCCCCGAUAGAUCUCGGCCGCUGGAAAGCCCCGAGAUCGAAAGCUCCGGCGCCAGAGGAUGGGUCUGCGGCCUAUCAGGUAGUAGUGGGUGUAGCGUACCUACUAGCCUACGACGGGUACGGGUUGUGAGAGCAAGAGCCCGGAGAUGGAUUCUGAGACACGAAUCCAGGCCCUACGGGGUGCAGCAGGCGCGAAAACUUUACAAUGCCGGCAACGGCGAUAAGGGGACCUCGAGUGCCAGGUUACAAAUCUGGCUGUCGUGAUGCCUAAAAAGCAUUGCAUAGCAAGGGCCGGGCAAGACCGGUGCCAGCCGCCGCGGUAACACCGGCGGCUCGAGUGGUAACCGUUAUUAUUGGGUCUAAAGGGUCUGUAGCCGGCCGGAUAAGUCUCUUGAGAAAUCCAGCAGCUCAACUGUUGGGCUUUCAGGAGAUACUGUCUGGCUCGAGGCCGGGAGAGGUGAGAGGUACUUCAGGGGUAGGGGUGAAAUCUUGUAAUCCUUGAAGGACCACCAGUGGCGAAGGCGUCUCACCAGAACGGACCUGACGGCAAGGGACGAAAGCUAGGGGCACGAACCGGAUUAGAUACCCGGGUAGUCCUAGCCGUAAACGAUACUCGCUAGGUGUCGGCCACGGUGCGACCGUUGUCGGUGCCGUAGGGAAGCCGUGAAGCGAGCCACCUGGGAAGUACGGCCGCAAGGCUGAAACUUAAAGGAAUUGGCGGGGGAGCACACAACGGGUGGAGCUUGCGGUUUAAUUGGAUUCAACGCCGGAAAUC